rnacentral:rRNA from 1 species
AUUGAACGCUGGCGGCAUGCUUUACACAUGCAAGUCGAACGGUAACAGGCCGCAAGGUGCUGACGAGUGGCGAACGGGUGAGUAAUGCAUCGGAACGUGCCCAGUCGUGGGGGAUAACGCAGCGAAAGCUGUGCUAAUACCGCAUACGAACUAUGGAUGAAAGCGGGGGACCGUAAGGCCUCGCGCGAUUGAAGCGGCCGAUGUCAGAUUAGGUAGUUGGUGGGGUAAAGGCCCACCAAGCCAACGAUCUGUAGCUGGUCUGAGAGGACGACCAGCCACACUGGGACUGGGACACGGCCCAGACUCCUACGGGAGGCAGCAGUGGGGAAUUUUGGACAAUGGGCGCAAGCCUGAUCCAGCAAUGCCGCGUGCAGGAAGAAGGCCUUCGGGUUGUAAACUGCUUUUGUACGGAACGAAACGGUCUGGGUUAAUACCUCGGGCUAAUGACGGUACCGUAAGAAUAAGCACCGGCUAACUACGUGCCAGCCGCCGCAGUAAAAC